UACCUUCAGGGAUAUCUAAGUCACCAAGUCUGGGGUGAAGCCUGAGAAUUUGUAUUUCUGUUAAGUUCCCAGAUGAUGCUAAUGCUUUAUCUGGGGACCACACUUGAGAACCACUGUCCUAUGGGAUCAAGAAAUAAGCCAGGAACGAGUGUAUAUUUUUUCUAGUUAAAUAUUUAAUGUUAAGAUGUUUAGAAUUUUUUUAGGGAGGUGCUUGUCAGAUACUUUUCCUAAUAGUGGGUACUCAGAGUAUUUCAUGUGAGACUACCAAUGUCAUAUAUUUUAAAAACUAUUAGACUGGGACAGAUGGGAAAUUGCCUUCAGCAUAAGAAAAGCCAAUAUUUUUCAUAAGUCCCAAAAGCAGCUUUUGGGGUUGGUUGAUUCAGUGGUUCAAUGAAACCAUCAGAGACUCUGGUUCCUACUCUUUAUUCCACUGUGCCAUGGACCAUGUGCUGGUACAUCUUCAGACUCACUCUGCAUGGUGACAGAAUGGCUGUAGAAGUGCCAGGCAUCACAUCCAGGUUACAUACAGAUGCACACUGUUUAAUAGCCAAGCUUAUGCAGUAUCAGUAACUAUUAGAGAAACUGAAAUGGAGGAUCCAGAACUUCUUAUCAAAUAUAAUCCUUAAGAUACAAACAAAGCAGUCAUUGAAUAGUUUCUUAGCCCAUUUUCUGUGGCUUAUGAUAGAAUUCCUAAAACUGAAUGGCAUAUAAAGAAAUUUAUUUCUUAUAGCUAUGGAGGCUGAGAAGUCCAAGAUCAGGGGGACAUGUGGUAAACGCCUUCUUGCUGAUACCAGUAAAGCCUGCUGAGCUGGAGUGUCACUUGAAUCAUAUUCGCCACUUUUGCUUUCUCUUCCUACAUGGGUCCUGAGGUUUUGCUCUCAUCAUCAUCUUGCCUUUCAGUAAGUGAGCUGCUUCUAUAGAUGGAAGAAAGUUAGUCCUUCCUUUUGGUAUUUUGAGAGUUUUAUUUUUAGGCCUCUCCUUGGCUGUC
rnacentral:lncRNA from 1 species